CCUUCGAUAGCUCAGUUGGUAGAGCGGUGGACUGUAGAGGUUGUUUCAGAUAUCGAUAGGUCACUGGUUCGAAUCCGGUUCGAAGGA
rnacentral:tRNA from 1 species